rnacentral:rRNA from 1 species
UACGUAGGGUGCGAGCGUUGUCCGGAAUUAUUGGGCGUAAAGAGCUUGUAGGCGGUUUGUCGCGUCUGCUGUGAAAUCUCAAGGCUCAACCUCGAGCUUGCAGUGGGUACGGGCAGGCUAGAGUGUGGUAGGGGAGACUGGAAUUCCUGGUGUAGCGGUGAAAUGCGCAGAUAUCAGGAGGAACACCGAUGGCGAAGGCAGGUCUCUGGGCCACUACUGACGCUGAGAAGCGAAAGCAUGGGGAGCGAACAGG